GACGUAGGGUGCAAGCGUUGUCCGGAAUUAUUGGGCGUAAAGAGCUCGUAGGCGGCUUGUCGCGUCGACUGUGAAAUCCCGCGGCUCAACUGCGGGUCUGCAGUCGAUACGGGCAGGCUAGAGUUCGGUAGGGGAGACUGGAAUUCCCGGUGUAGCGGUGAAAUGCGUAGAUAUCGGGAGGAACAUCAGUGGCGAAGGCGGCUACCUGGCCCCAAUAC
rnacentral:rRNA from 1 species